rnacentral:rRNA from 1 species
UGCCAGCAGCCGCGGUAAUACGGAGGGGGUUAGCGUCGUUCGGAAUUACUGGGCGUAAAGCGCGCGUAGGCGGAUUGGAAAGUUGGGGGUGAAAUCCCAGGGCUCAACCCUGGAACUGCCUUUAAAACUGUUAGUCUUGAGAUCGAGAGAGGUGAGUGGAAUUCCAAGUGUAGAGGUGAAAUUCGUAGAUAUUUGGAGGAACACCAGUGGCGAAGGCGGCUCACUGGCUCGAUACUGACGCUGAGGUACGAAAGUGUGGGGAGCAAACAGGAUUAGAUA